CUGAAGCUCAGUAUCUCCUUUCAGCUGUUAGAAACUAAUUAAGAGGACAAUGACCGCGUGUUUUUCAUGGGAAGGGCAUUUCCUCAGAAAUAGCUGGGUGAAGAGUGGAAGGGUUGUGUAGUUUGAAUCAGCGGUGGGAAUGACAAGCAAGGUUUUCUUAUGAAGCAUGGUGUCUUGACUCAUGGUAUAGAGCGCCUGCUGUUGGGAAUUUGGGGGGGGGUGGGCAUUUUGCUGCAGACCAAGGUGAACUGAAGAGAGGAAGCGCAAUCUGCUUGGGAUGCCAUUCUCAGUGCUCUUAACUUGGCUAUUCAGAAAAAAUGCAGAGAAGGAUAUUCUUGGACAGCCAUACUACAGUGUCUUGCUUACUGGGACCCAAAAUGCCUAGCAAAAUCUAAAAGAUUUUUAAUCUCUUAAAAGAAAAUGAUGGCUGCUAAUAUGUUCUCAGAAAGCCCUUAUAGAAGAAAUAUAAGAAUCUCAUAACUAAACCACCCUACAUUCAAUAUCUUGUUACUCCACAUAUCCUGCAACACAAGCACCAACGUAUUUCUCUAAAGAAACCCCCUGCUAAGAAAAAUAAGGAGGAGGCCGAAUAUGCUAAAGUUCUGGCAAAAAAAAAAAAAAAAAAAAAAAGCCAAAGAAAAAUGCAAGGAACAGAUUGCCAAGUGAUGUGGAUAUGCUUGCAGAGUUUCUACUUCUAAGUCUGAGCCAGUCAAAAACAA
rnacentral:lncRNA from 1 species